rnacentral:rRNA from 1 species
GACGAACGCUGGCGGCGUGCCUAAUACAUGCAAGUUGAGCGCUGAAGGUUGGUACUUGUACCAACUGGAUGAGCAGCGAACGGGUGAGUAACGCGUGGGUAAUCUGCCUUUGAGCGGGGGACAACAUUUGGAAACGAAUGCUAAUACCGCAUAAAAACUUUAAACACAAGUUUUAAGUUUGAAAGAUGCAAUUGCAUCACUCAAAGAUGAUCCCGCGUUGUAUUAGCUAGUUGGUGAGGUAAAGGCUCACCAGGGCGAUGAUACAUAGCCGACCUGAGAGGGUGAUCGGCCACAUUGGGACUGGGAAACGGCCCAAACCUCUAAGGGAGGCAGCAGUAGGGAAUCUUUGGCAAUGGACGAAAGGCUGACCGGGGAACGCCGCGGGAGUGAAGAAGGGUUUCGGAUCGUAAAACUCUGUUGGUAGGGAAGAAAGUUGGUGAGAGUGGAAAGCGCAUCAAGUGACGGUAACUAACCAGAAAGGGACGGCUAACUACGUG